GCGUUUGUAGUUCAAGGGUAGAAUUCGAGCUUCCCACGCUGGCCACGCUAGGUUAGGGUUGUGCUCGAGGCCCGGGUUCGAGUCCCGGCAGACGCA